rnacentral:rRNA from 1 species
GUGCAGCAGGCGAGAAACCUCCGCAAUACACGAAAGUGUGACGGGGCCAUCCCGAGUGCCGUCCGCUGAGGACGGCUUUUCCCCAGUGUACACAGCUGGGGGAAUAAGGAGAGGGCAAGCCUGGUGUCAGCCGCCGCGGUAAUACCAGCUCUCCGAGUGGUGGGGACGCUUAUUGGGCCUAAAGCAUCCGUAGCCGGCUGGGCAAGUCCUCCGUUAAAUCCAACGAUUCAAUCGUUGGGCUGCGGGGGUACUGUCCAGCUUGGGGGCGGGAGAGGCCGACGGUAUUCCCGGGGUAGGGGUGAAAUCCUAUAAUCCCGGGAGGACCACCAGUGGCGAAGGCUGUCGGCUAGAACGCGCCCGACGGUGAGGGAUGAAAGCUGGGGGAGCGAACCGGAUUAGAUACCCGGUA